rnacentral:lncRNA from 1 species
UUUUGUGCACAGAUCAGGUUUCAGAUACGGUUAGUAAUAGGACAACUAGUCUCUAAUUAGUGCAAAGAAUGUAAUUCUGGCAGGCUUUAUUUGACUGUGACCUUAUUUAACUUGCUCAUAUGAAAACUGUAGCAAGGUUUGAUUAUCAUCAUAACCUGCAGUUCUUAGUGCUGUUUAGAAUUUUAACAAUAUACCUUUUUGUAUUUCAAUUUAUUUCUAAGACAAGAAAAAACAUGUGUAAACGAGUAAAAUCUUCCAAGCCAAUGACUUCUGUUGCAGUAAGCAAGACUUGGGGAAAGUUUUCUAGCAGUGGAAGCUUCAAUACGACACAAAAUGCAAAUUAUUAUAGCAGGUCGACGACCUGGAAGCUUCAUACUUUGUGUAAAUAUUUUUCAGCAGGAGAUAUAUUUCGUAUGUGCUUAUCUUGCAAGGUCCUCUUGCCUGUCAAUAGUUGUUUACUUUACCUUGACCUCAUCUCAUGGAGCAAUGAAUGAGAAGGUUUUUGUGAUCCAAUUUACAUUACAGAUACAUUAAGUAACAGGUCUCCAUUUGGUUAUGAAAUGAUUGUAGGUUGUACAUGUUUAAUUGGCAGUCAUUUGACCAUGACCUCAUUUUCUUGGUUUUAAGUGCACGUGGUACAAGUUAAAUUCUUAGUGUUUAGAUCAGUUUUUCUGAAAUUGGAUGAAAUUAUAUCUGGGGUAUGGAAAACAUUUUAUGAUGCAAACAUCAGUCAGACAUGAUUUAUUUUUAUUUUACCUUGACCUAAAUUUCAGUUCACUCAAUAUUUUGUUUUUAUAUAUUGGUUCCUUUUUCUUAUACUUUAUUCUUUAAGCAAAAGGUAAUCUAUAUUUGGUCUCAUCCCACCUUGACCUCUUUUUUAAUGGUCUGUUAGUCAAUAGAAGUUUUCAUAAUUUUGUAUGUUUCUUGUAUAUCAUCAGCAAUAUAUUGACUUAAAGAUGAUUACACAAGUUUUGGAAUUUCCAUACCCUCUUACUAGUAUUGUAUUUGUUUGUCAUAUGCAUGCUUUUACCGUUUCCUAAAACAACUUUUCUAUGUUUUUGUUGUGAUUUUGAAUGUGUUUUAGAAUCAUUUACAAAUACAUAUGUAUUGUCAUCUUUUUACUCUUCAUUAAAAAUAAUGCAAAUGAUCAUGUGCCUUUCUAUGUUGUGAUGUUACACUAUUUUUUAAGUUAAGGAGGUUGGUACCUAUUAAAACAUUCAACUCCACUGCAUUUGUUUGCA